ACAUAUUAUAUGUAUACUUAUAAUUUAUAUCUAACACAUGUUUAUGAAACUGAAAUAAUUUCUACAGUAAUUAUUUAGUAUACAUAAUAUUAUUAGCUUUAUCAAUUUAUUUUCACUGCAAAUGACACAUAUGACUCGCAGUAAAUUAAAUUGGCUCGAACCUUAAUUCUAUCUGUCUACCAAGUAUUUGACAAUAACCAGCGUCCAUAUCACACGCAUGGAAGCUCCCUAAAAUAUUCUACUCUCCGAAGCAAUUGAUUCGGUUGUCUCUACAAUAGAUAUGUGGUAUGCCACUGAAUUUAACAUCAUUGUCCCGAAUGCGAUCGGAUUAUUCAUUUCCACAAUCGCAAUGUUAUAUUAUAGAUGAAACUUUCUUAUAUUUAAAUUUUGAAACGCGUGUGAUAUAUGAUCCAUUUACAUAAUAAUAUUAUAAUAUAUGAGCUAUAUUUCAUUGUAUCUAUUGAUUUUAAUGAUCCAAUAGACUUGUGUUCCUAAU